GCCGGUGUGGCGGAAUGGCAGACGCGACCGACUCAAAAUCGGUUGCCCGUGAGGGCAUGUGGGUUCGAGUCCCACCACCGGUACCA
rnacentral:tRNA from 1 species